rnacentral:rRNA from 1 species
GACGAACGCUGGCGGCGUGCUUAACACAUGCAAGUCGAACGGAAAGGCCCUGCUUUUGUGGGGUGCUCGAGUGGCGAACGGGUGAGUAACACGUGAGUAACCUGCCCUUGACUUUGGGAUAACUUCAGGAAACUGGGGCUAAUACCGGAUAGGAGCUCCUGCUGCAUGGUGGGGGUUGGAAAGUUUCGGCGGUUGGGGAUGGACUCGCGGCUUAUCAGCUUGUUGGUGGGGUAGUGGCUUACCAAGGCUUUGACGGGUAGCCGGCCUGAGAGGGUGACCGGCCACAUUGGGACUGAGAUACGGCCCAGACUCCUACGGGAGGCAGCAGUGGGGAAUAUUGCACAAUGGGCGGAAGCCUGAUGCAGCAACGCCGCGUGCGGGAUGACGGCCUUCGGGUUGUAAACCGCUUUCGCCUGUGACGAAGCGUGAGUGACGGUAAUGGGUAAAGAAGCACCGGCUGACUACGUGCCAGCAGCCGCGGUGAUACGUAGGGUGCGAGCGUUGUCCGGAUUUAUUGGGCGUAAAGGGCUCGUAGGUGGUUGAUCGCGUCGGAAGUGUAAUCUUGGGGCUUAACCCUGAGCGUGCUUUCGAUACGGGUUGACUUGAGGAAGGUAGGGGAGAAUGGAAUUCCUGGUGGAGCGGUGGAAUGCGCAGAUAUCAGGAGGAACACCAGUGGCGAAGGCGGUUCUCUGGGCCUUUCCUGACGCUGAGGAGCGAAAGCGUGGGGAGCGAACAGGCUUAGAUACCCUGGUAGUCCACGCUGUAAACGGUGGGUACUAGGUGUGGGGUCCAUUCCACGGGUUCCGUGCCGUAGCUAACGCUUUAAGUACCCCGCCUGGGGAGUACGGCCGCAAGGCUAAAACUCAAAGGAAUUGACGGGGCCCCGCACAAGCGGCGGAGCAUGCGGAUUAAUUCGAUGCAACGCGUAGAACCUUACCUGGGUUUGACAUGGAUCGGGAGUGCUCAGAGAUGGGUGUGCCUCUUUUGGGGUCGGUUCACAGGUGGUGCAUGGCUGUCGUCAGCUCGUGUCGUGAGAUGUUGGGUUAAGUCCCGCAACGAGCGCAACCCUUGUUCACUGUUGCCAGCACGUUAUGGUGGGGACUCAGUGGAGACCGCCAGGGUCAACUCGGAGGAAGGUGGGGAUGACGUCAAGUCAUCAUGCCCCUUAUGUCCAGGGCUUCACGCAUGCUACAAUGGCUGGUACAGAGAGUGGCGAGCCUGUGAGGGUGAGCGAAUCUCGGAAAGCCGGUCUCAGUUCGGAUUGGGGUCUGCAACUCGACCUCAUGAAGUCGGAGUCGCUAGUAAUCGCAGAUCAGCAACGCUGCGGUGAAUACGUUCCCGGGGCU